rnacentral:lncRNA from 1 species
UCAGUCAAUGUAUUAGAACGAAGUUUGCACUGGACAAGCAGCUCUGAGUGAGCCUCUCUCCUGUAAUCCCAGCACCUGGGAAACUGAGCACGCUCCAGCCCGAAGGUAGGAAGCUUGUACUGGCCUACAACUAAGACACUCAGAGUAUUCUGGUAUGUGUGGUGGAGGGACGAGCCUGGGAAUAGCCCAUGGUCUCACGGUGCGGGCUGUGCCAGAUGAAGUAGCGCUGUAGGGCAAGCUGUCCCGUAUCUGCAAAACCCAGACUUUCCUGCUGUUUGCAUCUGCACGGAAGUUGGAAGAAGGCAAAGAGUUGGGGCUAGCAGGCUGGGGGGCUGAGCCUGGGGCCAGGAGAGUCCCAAGAAGCAAGUUUUCUGUUUGUUACGUUCCAUCACAUGCUUCAAAGUGGGGGCACAACCAGGCUAAAAUGGCCUAAAGGAUUGUGGCUGUAACCGAGGCACCUCAGACUGCUG